GUAACUUUUGUUUUCUCUUUACAGAUGAAAUGUGAGGCAGCAACGAAAGUGAUUUGGAAGGUAAACCAGUGGAAAGAAAGGACCACCACCCCUACAUCGUUAAUGUGAUGAUGGGCUUCUGGUGGGGACGGGGACGAGGCAGUGACCGAGGGCCGAGAUGAGCUGCCUUCAGGACGUACCUUGAGUCCUCACCACCGCCCACGCCCGCCCUGCGUCCGCCCCUGUCAUGGCUGCUGACAGCAGCUUGCCGGGGCGGCGCUUCCUGUGUCGCGAGUGGGCGUGGGCAAAGCUGUGGGCAUGUCUGGAACAGAGGCCGGCCGCCAAGACAUGCGGGGCUUUGUUGGUAGGCGGCCCAGGCACUGGUAAAACCGCGCUCUGCACAGAGUUGGUGUCACCUUCAGCAUCUCAUGGCCGCCAUGCCUCAGCCCUCCAUGCACGUCUUCUGGCACACCAUAUGUGCCACGCCCACCUGGCUGCCUCUCUCAGCGUUGGCUGCUUCAUCCAAUCCCUGGUGGCUCAACUAGAGACAUCUCCACUUCUGCCUAACUACAGCAGUAAAACUGAGUCACCUGAGGUAUGUGCUGCCCUUGAGCCCCGUGCCCUCCAUGCCAACCCUGAUGAAGCCUUCCGCCGCUCUGUCAUCUUUCCUCUGCUGGAGCUGGAUCAGCCUGACCGCACAUUGUUGUUAGUAGUGGACAGCAUUGAUGAGACUGAUCUACAGGCACCAGUGGCAGCCACACCGCGUGAUGGUGGCUCGAUGGAUACAGGUAACAAAGGUCCAUCACGCACCAUCGCCGAACUGCUGGCCACCCACCACCAUCUUUUGCCGCAGUGGUUGCUUCUGGUUGUCACUGCACGCCGAACGUCACGCACCAUCAUCCGUCAGUUUGCCGGCUUUCGAAAAGUUGCCCUGGAUGACCUGCGGCGAGGCCACGUGGUGCGGGAUGUGCAACAGUAUAUUUUGUGCCGCCUGGACCGCGAGCCCGCCCUCCGACACCACCUGUCGCGGGAAACAGCAGAGAUGCUCAAUCAGUUGCAUAUCAAAAGCAACGGCUGCUUUUUGUACUUGGAGCGUGUAUUAGAUGGUGUGGCAGAUGGCUGGGUAACAUUGCGCGAGAUCCGGCACAUUCCCGGCACUCUCAAUGGUCUAUAUCUGUGGCUGUGCCAGCGAUUGUACCCACGGCGGCACUUCCAACGUGUGGCGCCAUUGUUAGCUGUCAUUCUUGCUGCUCGUGCACCCCUCACACCAAAAGAGCUGCGGGAAGCUGUUGAGACGCGCUUCCCAACUCUCACUGAUGAGGACUGGAGCAAGCGAUGGUCGCUUCUGAUGCGGGUGCUGGCCCCUGAGCAUGACCAGCAGGUGCUCCUCUUUCAUCAUAGCUUUGCUGAAUGGCUGCUGGAUGUGAAGCACUGCACCCAGAAGUACCUGGUAGAUGUGGCUGAUGGGCAUGCAAUGUUAGCUAUGAGCCUUUCUCUCCAGUCCUCAUCUCUCAGCCUGAUGCAGGUCCAUCAGUUAGCUCUCCACCUCUCUCGUAUUCGCCUGGAACCACCUUUAGAGCAGCACCACCUCCCACUAUGGAUGGUUUCAUGUGGGGUGCCUCUGAGUCUCUGCCAAGAUCUUCCACCACCAAGAGAUCCACGUGCCCUGAAGAUCCUGCAAGAAGCUGGUGCUGCCCUUCCUGACGAUCAGCCACAGGAGGAGGAGGAUGAUGAUGAUGAUGAAGAUGAUGACGAAGAUGAAGAUGAAGUAGAAGAGGGUGGAGAGGAAGAAGGACCUCCAACAGAAAUUCGCUAUGAAGAAUUAGAACAGGAGGAUGAAGAGAUCCAGGAGAGCACACAUGAAUCAGAUAAACUCAAAAAAGAAGAUUGCAAGGAAGAGCACGCUAAGGAAGAUGGUAUGAACUGUAAAACUGAUGACAUACUCGAUGCAGUUGAUAACAUUAGACUGGAGGAAGUGUGUAGUGCUGAAAAUGAUAAAAAUGAGCAAGAAGAGAAAGUUGAUGUGGAAUCAGAGGUGACUAAUGAAAAAGUUUGUAAAGAGGAGAGUGAAAAGGAUGAUGAGUAUGUGACAAUGGUACCUCUGCCAGGAGAGUUUGUAAAUGGUGGCUCAAUAGGUGGACGGAGCAUUGAUGGUGGCAUAGGCACAGGAAGCUGCCAAAGUACUGAUGGCCGCCAAAGUACUGGAGGUCGACAGAGUACUGGGGGCAGGCAGAGCACUGGAGGCCGGCAGAGCACUGGAGGCCGGCACAGUAGUACAGGGGGACGGCACAGUAGUGAGCACAGUAGUAGCAGUAGUCGACGGCGAGAACGUCGAAGACGGCGUCACCGUGAGGACCCUCUCUACCCAUACUUACGAGGUGGUCCUGUUGACCAGGUGGACAGUUCUGGCCGCUCCCUGCUUCACAGUGCUGCUCAUCAAGGAGAUGCUUCUCUUGUGCGUCUCCUUCUAGAGCGAGGAGCCUUCCAUGGCCUUCAGGAUCGAGCUGGCCAGACACCCCUUAACUUAGCUGCACGACAUGGACACGCCGAGGUAGUAGCCACUCUUUUAGCAGCGGGUGCUGACCCUGAUCAUGCUGAUGCUGAUGGCUGGACAGCGCUCAGAUCAGCAGCUUGGGGUGGACACAGUGGAGUGGUCAACGCCUUGUUGGUGGGUGGCACACAAGUUGACCUCGCGGAUGCAGAUGGUCGAACAGCACUGCGGGCUGCCGCCUGGGGUGGCCAUGAAGAUGUGGUGGCUUCACUCUUGCACCAUGGUGCGGACGUCAAUCGGGCAGAUAGCGAGGGCCGCACGCCCCUCAUUGCGGCGGCCUACAUGGGUCAUUCAGAAAUUGUGGAAGCUCUACUGGAGGUAGGAGCUGAUGUUAACCAUGAGGAUGUGGAUGGCAGGACAGCGCUGAGUGUGGCAGCUCUUUGUGUGCCAGCCAGCGAGGGCCACACCAGUGUGGUGACCACCCUACUGGAGCUUGGUGCUAAGGUUGACCACCAAGACCACGAUGGCCUCACACCUCUUCUCGUAGCAGCCUUUGAGGGACACACAGAGGUCUGUGAACUAUUGCUUGAGUAUGAAGGUGAUGUGGACCAUGUGGACCGUUCAGGGCGUACCCCUUUGUUGGCUGCAGCUUCUAUGGGCCACGCAGCUGUGGUAGAGAGGCUUUUGUUUUGGGGAUGUUAUGUGGACCACAUCGAUGCUGAGGGUCGCACUGUGCUGAGCGUGGCAGCAGCUCAGGGCUCCCAGGAAACAGUGAGGUUACUUCUUGAUAGAGGCUUGGAUGAAACUCACAGAGACAAUGCUGGCUGGACACCAUUGCAUUAUGCUGCAUUUGAAGGUCAUUGUGGUGUAUGUGAAGCUCUCCUAGAGGCUGGCGCAAGGGUUAAUGAAGUGGACAAUGAUGGGAAACAUGCGCUGGUCCUGGCAGCACAAGAAGGCCACACUGCUGUGGUGGCUGCCUUGUUGGAUGCCGGGGCUAACAUUGAUCAUACCAGCCAUGAUGGAAGGUCUGCACUUCGUGUGGCUGCUUUAGAAGGACAUAAAGAUGUGGUGCACCUCCUCUUGUGUCGAGGAGCUGAUCUUCAUUAUAAAGAUGCCGAUGGUCGCUCAACACUAUAUCUCCUUGCUCUUGAAAAUAGACUGGACAUGGCAAAGUUCUUAAUGGAGAAUAAUGCAAACGUUGAAAGUACAGAUUUGGAGGGACGCACACCACUGCAUGUUACAGCAUGGCAAGGUCACACCUGCAUGGUGGCUCUACUUUUAGAUGGUGGUGCCCAUGUAGAUGCUGUAGACAAAGAACGUCGAACGCCUCUUCAGAGUGCUGCUUGGCAAGGGCAUGCAGAAGUGGUUAGAUUGUUACUGGAGCGGGGUGCUACAGUUGACCACACUUGCUCUCAAGGGGCAACAGCAUUAAGUAUAGCUGCACAAGAGGGUCAUGAGGAUAGUGUUGCAGCUCUUCUACAGUAUGGUGCCAACCCAGCACACUCAGAUAGAUGUGGCAGGACUGCCAUUAAGGUAGCCUUGAAGGGUGGUCACAUACAUCUUGCUCGCAUGUUGGAGGAGAGCAUGGUUCUACAACAGCAGCAAGGAGGUGUUUCUCGCAUGGCAGCUUCAUCAGUGGGUUCAGGUUCUACCACAGAAACAAAGCCUUGCUCAGCCAUGCUGUGUCCAGGGUUGGCAGCUUCACCGGCAGAGAGUCCAGAGUCCACUUUUGAGAAGCGUAGGUCUGUUGCUUCAUUAGGGCAGCAUUCUUCUUCCAAAUCCUCUGGGAAUCUUACCACAUCCACUCGUUCCUCUGGUGGCCCCAGGGCACCCACACCCCGGGAAGCUCACAGCCACUUGCUCCAGCACCAGCAGCAGCCAUUGCCACCACCUGCACCAUCUGCACCACCUGUUUCAGCAAUGUCUCCAAUUUUAAGUUUUACCCAGCAACUUCAGCAGUGUGGUCGUGGUAGAGGAAGGCGCCACCCUCCACCACCACCCCAGCCAGCUCUUACUCCUCUAGAUGAGCCAGCAUCACCAAUUUAUGCAUCUCCACCACUUUCACCUCUGAGUGAUGGUCCUGGUGGAGGGAGGAAUUUACAUUCUCUUGCUAUCUUAGAAGAUGACUAUACAGUUCCUCUGCAGCACCCAGCAGUACGUGCACCGAGACCUUCUGCCCCACCGGCCAGCAUUACUGCUGAGCUUUGUCGUCGACCUGGUGGAGGAGGAGGAACUGUAGGAACUGGAGGUGGAGGUGGGGGAGGAGGGAGCAGCAGUGUUCCAGGUCUUGGGAACAUACCCAACAUGGGGGUUAGUGUUCCAGGAGUGACAGGUGCAGGGUCACCAGGCUCCUCUGGGUUCACCUUCACCCAGGACCAGCACAUGCGCAUCAUUCUGGGCACCCGUUCCCCUGAGCCACGCCCACGUCGCAACGGCAUUGUUACCAACCCAAGCCUUAAGGCCGCCAUGCCAAGGUCAGCCACCUGCUCAGGAAUGGUCUUAGUGGCCGCCCCAGACCACCACCUGCCAGACCUAAUGGUUUGCCACUGAAGAAGGAAACUCCUCUAUGACCAAAGAUAAACACAGAUUCUGGUGAGCCUUUACUGUGGCACCAAGGGGACAACUAAAUGUUAUGAUGAUACAUGAUAGAGUAAAGAGAACAAGAGCAUUGUUGUCAUAUGUGGAUCCUGCAGACUAGCAUCAUCACAACAGUUGAUAACAACACCGGUACUUCAUGAUUGUUUAAAAUGCUGAAAAGAAGAGGAUAGCUAGAAGAAAUACACUGCAAUUAUUUUAUUAAGACAAGAAAGGUGUAGUGAAAGAUGCAGUAUGUGGACUACAAAACAUGUUGGGGAAUGGGAAUAUUGUGAAUUCUACAACUUGAUGUUUUAGUUCUGGUUACUAGUGAACAUUCUAUACUCAUAAUGAGUCUGGUAUAUGUCAUUGUUUUCACCACUAGGAGCAGUCUGCAGGUUUCACAUUAAAUUUAAACAACAAAUUUAAAUAUAUGUUAGAUUUUUAUAUAUUCAUAUAAUUAUGUAUUUCUCUUAGAGGAAGUCAUAUAUAUUUCAUAGGAAUCAUCCAGUUCUGAUAAUUUGUUGUUCCAGUGCUCAGAAUUUUCCAUUGAGUGGAUUCUCAUACAAGUAUAUUUCAUUACUGUCCCGGGUGCCAAGUGGCGACAGAGCUCACAAGUGUUGCUGGUGAGCACAUGUGCAGAGACUGCAACACCAAGUCUCUUGACAGUCUGUAUGGCAGUUUGGAAUAGAGGCCAGCAUACAUUUGAUAGUAGUCUGAAAAUUUAGUAAUGUGCUCUCUCUCUCUCUCUCUCUCUCUCUCUCUCUCUCUUUUCCAAAACUCCACACAAAGAUAUUCAAAGUAAAGUCACUGAAUCAUAUCUCAGUGAGAAAAAAGGGUUCCUGGUGAUGUCAUAAAACAUGAAUUUAUAAGGUAGUAAUAUAUUCAUAUAGUACCAAUUGUCAUUACUCAAGUGUUUGAACCAAAGUAAGUGGUCAACAUUUGAUAUCAAUGCAUUCUCAUGUGGCACUAUCUUUUUAUUGAUUUUUCAAUGACAGUACAGAUCAUUUUAGUUUGUCAUGUCAGACGGAACAAUUUUCUUAAUAAAGGGUAAUAAUAAUAUCUACACUACUUAUUGCUGUAUUGGAGAGCUGAAUAAAACAUUUACUUAUGAUCAUUACCUUAAAAUUUAGGAUAAUGCCAAAUGCUGAUGGAUACUUUAUUUGUUUACAUGAAUUAAAUAUUAUAUUUUCUUUAUUUAAAUUAAGAGAAAGCCUCAAAAUUCUCCAAACUGUCACAACAGCAUGUCAGGUGUGUUAUAUAGGUGUUGUAUUCUAGUGUAUAUAGAGCUGACUGAACUAGUCUUGUAGCAUGGAUGUUGUGUAAUGCUCAUGUCCAGAUGUAAAUAAUGUCUUCUUGCAUAUGUACAGAAAAAAAAUGUGUGAAUCUAUUGCUACUAUAAUGUGAGAUAUGGUAAUGUACAUCUACUUGUGCCCACUUGAUACUUAUGAUUUUUGUUGACUCCCAGUGUACAGAUUGGGAGUCCUGUUAUUAUUUGGUGUACAUGUCAGUGCUGGUGACCCGCCUCAUAACAGAUUGUAUAUUUGACAGAAUCACAUCUACUAUAAUUGUGUUUGCUUACAUAUUACAUACAGGUUCAGUAACAUAUGCUGCCAAUAAUCUCAUGCCAAUGCAAGAAUAUCUUUGAUAUAAUAUUUUCAUUAAGAAUUACUUUCUAAACUGGUCUGUGGUAUACAAGGGUAUACUUGAGCAAUAUAACAUAGAUUUGUAAUUGAGGCAAAGGUAAGGAAUCAUACAAUUUUUAAGAAAAGAUGGAAAAAGUUGUAAAUUUACAGCUUAUAAUUACAUAAUGGAUCUCAUAAGCUUUUAAAAGGAGCUAUUUGUAGAGUAUGGUUUGAAAAUGUUACAUACUAGUUACCAGGAAAUCCUUUUUUCAUAUGUACACAUAUAUAGUUUUGUGACCAGCUUACCUACAGUGGUUGUAUAAGAUCACCAUGCUAUGCAACAUGUGACAGAAUUGCUUCUAAAAUUAGACAAGAAUGAGCUAUAAAUUCUCAGUGAUACGAGUUCUUAUUCAUGCAGAUCAAACCACUAUUUUAAGCCAGUUAAGACAAGAUUUAUUUGCAAGCAUGAAAGACUAUGUGCACUGUGCAUGCACAUAGUCUUUCAUUUACUCUCUUAGCCACUCAUUCCAUACUUAUACCAUAAAUAUGAUAGAUGUACUUAAGUGUAGUGAGAUUUUUUAGCAAGCAAAAUUUUCACGCAGUUCAUCCAGCCCCAGUCUACAUUUGUUUUAUUAUUUUAAUUAUGCAAACAUGUCAGAAUUUGUCAGAAAGAAUUUUGUGGUGUCCAUUAACAGCAAAGACUAUAGUCCGACACAUCUAAAGUGGCGUGACUGGUGUCACAUCUCCAACUUACCUCCCGAUCCACACCCCUCACACACACACACACACACUCUCUCUCUCUCUCUCUCUCUCUCUCUCUCGUUAAAAAAAAUUUAAAAAAAAAAUAAAAAAAUAAAAAUCGGGUUUUUAUGAAUGUUUCUCUAUUUGUGAGUGAAUACCAAGAAAUCUGUACAACACUUGGCACCGUUGCCUCUGCGGCAUUGUCAGCUCAGGUCAGGCUCAUGCUCCUCCCAACCCAACACACCACAGCUGCGCUGCCUGCCUGGUGAGGGCCAAUACAAUUGUCACAUUAAAAAAUAGAUCAGAUAAAUUCAUGGACAGUGAUAUUAGGUGGGGUUAGAUUCACGGGAGCUUAGGUUCAGAGGAGCUGCCUCGUACAGGCCUACCGGCCUCUUGCAGACUCCUAUGUUCUUAUGUUCUUAUAAUUAUGGCAUUUCUGCCAUAGUUUGGUGUGUGUCUGCCAUCUACCAUACACUGUCUGCCAUAUGGCAUAAUUUUGAUAAAAUAUGAGGCUAAUAGUGGAGAGAGAGAGAGAGAGAGAGAGAGAGAGAGAGAGAGAGAGAGAGAGAGAGAGAGAGAGAGAAAAGGGUAUGAGGGGCAUGGUACGUGAGGUUAGUUGGAGAUGUGGCAUCAGUGUAUAGAGGGCUGUCUACGUCAGAGGCACCGCUUUAGGUGUGUCGGACAAUAGUAGACAUUAUUUUAUUAUUUUUAAUUACUAUUGUUGGUAUCAAUAUUUUUAUUUAUUACAAUUAUAACAAUUAUUGUUGCAUUCUAAGUAACAGACUGAGAUGGACGACUAAGUCCUAAAAAAACUCCCUACCUUGCCUCUUCAUUAAAAUUAAAUGUGUUCAUUGCUUAACAUUGUUGAUUGUAUGUAUGUACAAUUAUUAUUUAUUUGUUUUACUUAUUAUCAUUAUAGAAUACCUAUUCAUUAUAUUUUUUCACAACUAAUAUAUACCAAUAUAUGCUACAUGCAAGGUAAUACUUAUGUAAAUAGUUCUUACCUUCUUUUAUCUCCAUAAUUCUACAGUAAAAAAAACAGGCCACAGGAAAUUAUACAGUUAAUAAUGAUAAAAAGAACAAGAACUAAGAUGAAUUGGAGGUGUAACAGCAGUAUGUAGCAAGUUUUAUCUUAGGCAAGCUUGAAAGGAGUUAAGAUUGAGGUGUUGAUUGCAGUGAUGUGUCUGUUGAAGAAAUCAAGGCAAAUUAUUGUGCAAAAAGUCUAGAGUAGGUAAAGUCCCUUCUGCAAUCUAUUCUCACCACAAGAGCAGCAGUCCUAUCACUUUAGAUUGACAAUGUUUUGUUAAAUCAUUGCUGUACCUAUUUAAUAACAAUGAUAAUACAGAAUAGUUACUGGUGAAUCACUACAGCCAUACUUGUCUAAGUUUUAACCCAUUAUGUCUCAGCUUAUUUGUAGUUUUGAAUGAUGUUACUUUGAUUGAACAGGAUAGCAUUGAGAACAUCAACAUCAUUUGCAAUGAUUUAUAGGAGGAAAUGACUUUUUUUCUUUUUUCUGGGAUUUUAGGAUAUGAGAGACAAACAAAAUAUAGCAUCUCAUCAUGUCAGUAACUAAGAAACUUGAAAU